rnacentral:lncRNA from 1 species
CUAUGAUCGAAAGCUUGUGAUAAAUAAGAGAGAGAGAGGGAGAGAGAGUAGUAGUAAGAACAUGAACUUACAAGCUUAUCUCGCACAGUCCUGAUGAACUCCUCGAGCUCGGAGGCUACAAUCACCAAAGGUAAAAACAAUAUCAACUAGAGAAAACUCACCUUGUUCAUCAAAGAGCACAACAUUUCCCUGUUUCGUGAAUGAUUCAUCAAUGGGGCUUCUGGUGCCGCAAAAACACCUGCCGCUGCUCUCCACAAUUCCUUGGGAAGCUCUCUGGCCCCAAAUGAUGAGCUGCGGCUGAAGAACCCGAGCCGAAUCCCCCAAGAUGCCCGCUCGAUCACGGUGCCGGAGUGGAG